rnacentral:rRNA from 1 species
UACAGAGGUCCCGAGCGUUGUUCGGAUUCAUUGGGCGUAAAGGGUGCGUAGGCGGCGCGGUAAGUCGGGUGUGAAAUCUCGGGGCUUAACUCCGAAACUGCAUUCGAUACUGCCGUGAUUGAGGACUGGAGAGGAGACUGGAAUUUACGGUGUAGCGGUGAAAUGCGUAGAUAUCGUAAGGAAGACCAGUGGCGAAGGCAGCACUCUGGGACGUGACUGACGCUGAGACGCGAAAGCGUGGGGAGCAAACAGG